CCUUGAGGCUGCAGGGACCAGCCCUUUGGUAGGUGCGCUUUGCUUCCUAACCCGUUGCCGGGUUGGAGAUUCCACCUCCGAAGUUUUCUUUCUGACUUUUGAUUUUACAUUCCUAGUACAGUGGAGAAGCCCAGGCGGCCUAGAAUCCAGUGUCGUCCGUGAGUGCUUGGCUGGUGUUCAAGUGCAUCUUCCAGCCUGAGACCGCGUGGACUCGCUCAUCGUGAGGGCGAGAGGAGGAUAAGCCCAUUGGGCUGUCGGCUGAGAGUGAGGUGCGGGCAGAUUGCUGAUGAAAUCCUUGGCAUCGUCGGAGAUCUCAUCGAAUGCCUCGUCGUCGAAGUCCCAGGUGGCUGAGGUAACGUUGGCCAAGGUUUCGUUAUCGUUGUCUCCCAUGAAGGGGGAAAGGCCACUGACUCUGGAGAGACAAGAGCAGGACAGCAGGUGUGGCUAGGAGAGGGCGCGACGACCAGAUGAGGGAAUUGAGGCACAGCCCAGGCUCAAGUCACCUGCCCAAAGAUUCACAGCCAGUGAGAUUGGAAGCCAGGUAUCUGCCUCUAGAGCCUGUCCUCUUAAAUGCUAUACUAUCCUAACAUUUCUGUAAAGAUGAAGUAAAUUGCAGUGUUCAGCACUGGCACCAGGCCUGGUCCACAGUAAGGAGGCGGUCCAUGCCCGGAGAUCUCAUGCAGUUCUGCUGGGUUCCCUCCACUGCCUUACCAAGCUGUGAGUGCAGGAAUGACUUUGUGACCAGCAGCUUAAGCCAAAUAAACUUUAUAAGGUAAAGAAUUUCAAAACAAAAUAGA
rnacentral:lncRNA from 1 species